CCCAGCUUGCUGGGGGAUUAGUGGCGAACGGGUGAGUAACACGUGAGUAACCUGCCCUUAACUCUGGGAUAAGCCUGGGAAACUGGGUCUAAUACCGGAUAUGACUCCUCAUCGCAUGGUGGGGGGUGGAAAGCUUUAUUGUGGUUUUGGAUGGACUCGCGGCCUAUCAGCUUGUUGGUGAGGUAAUGGCUCACCAAGGCGACGACGGGUAGCCGGCCUGAGAGGGUGACCGGCCACACUGGGACUGAGACACGGCCCAGACUCCUACGGGAGGCAGCAGUGGGGAAUAUUGCACAAUGGGCGAAAGCCUGAUGCAGCGACGCCGCGUGAGGGAUGACGGCCUUCGGGUUGUAAACCUCUUUCAGUAGGGAAGAAGCGAAAGUGACGGUACCUGCAGAAGAAGCGCCGGCUAACUACGUGCCAGCAGCCGCGGUAAUACGGA
rnacentral:rRNA from 1 species